rnacentral:rRNA from 1 species
GAUGAACGCUGGCGGCGUGCCUAAUACAUGCAAGUCGAACGGAGAACAUCGUAGCAAUACUUUGUUCUUAGUGGCGAACGGGUGAGUAACGCGUUGGUGACCUGCCCCGAAGAGGGGGAUAACAGUCCGAAAGGACUGCUAAUACCCCAUGUGGUCUCAGGGAUUAGAUGCCCUGAGUCUAAAGGAGUAAUCCACUUUGGGAGGGACCUGCGUCCCAUCAGCUAGUUGGUAAGGUAACGGCCUACCAAGGCUUCGACGGGUAGGGGACCUGAGAGGGUGGCCCCCCACAAUGGAACUGAAACACGGUCCAUACACCUACGGGAGGCAG